UGGGGAAUAUUGGACAAUGGGGGGAACCCUGAUCCAGCCAUGCCGCGUGUGUGAAGAAGGCCUUAUGGUUGUAAAACACUUUAAGCGAGGAGGAGGGUACUGGUAUUAAUACUACCAGCUACUGGACGUUACUCGCAGAAUAAGCACCGGCUAACUCUGUGCCAGCAGCCGCGGUAAUACAGAGGGUGCGAGCGUUAAUCGGAUUUACUGGGCGUAAAGCGUGCGUAGGCGGCUAAUUGAGUCGGAUGUGAAAUCCCCGAGCUUAACUUGGGAAUUGCAUUCGAUACUGGUUAGCUAGAGUGUGGGAGAGGAUGGUAGAAUUCCAGGUGUAGCGGUAAAAUGCGUAGAGAUCUGGAGGAAUACCGAUGGCGAAGGCAGCCAUCUGGCCUAACACUGACGCUGAGGUACGAAAGCAUGGGGAGCAAACAGGA
rnacentral:rRNA from 1 species